rnacentral:lncRNA from 1 species
AUGCUGUAGAAUAUUUUAUUCUGUGCUCUUUUCUUUGGCUAGAAUUUAAUUGCAUUCCAAAUUUUAUUUGGAAAAGGUUUUUGGAAAGGAAAACAGAAAAGAAAGAAAAAAAAGAGAAAAGACCCCAACCCGUGGAAACCAGGCCGAAGCCCCUUCCUCACCCCCUCUAUCCCCUUCGGCCCAGCGCGCAGCAAGCCCCGCCUCCCUUCUCGGCCCAAGCCAGCAGCGCCGCGGCCCAAUUCCUCCCAGCCCAGCGAGAUCUAGUCUCUCUUCCUCUCUCCCUUUCACUGACCAGUGGACCCCGCCUGUCAGUCGACUUCAUCUCUUUCCUCUCGCCGUGAGCUAGCCGGACACGGCCGGGAGCGAAUCCAAUCCCGAUUUCCCGGGGUUAUUGCCUUAUGCGCCC